rnacentral:rRNA from 1 species
UACGAAGGGGCUAGCGUUGUUCGGAAUUACUGGGCGUAAAGGGCGCGUAGGCGGUACUUCAAGUCAGGCGUGAAAGCCCCGGGCUCAACCUGGGAACCGCGCUUGAGACUGGAGAACUAGAGUUCGGAGAGGAUGGUGGAAGUUCCCAGUGUAGAGGUGAAAUUCGUAAGAUAUUGGGAAGAACACCGAUGGCGAAGGCGGGUCU